ensembl:lncRNA
GAGGUCCAGAGAUAUGAGCAGGGACGUCUCCAAAACAUAGGCUCUGGACCAGGAACACUGAUAGACUGGCCUCUUCCUCCAGAGGAGAGGUCGGGCUCAGGAAAUAUCCAUCCCCAAAACGACAGAGCAGGGACAGUUCCCAGCCCAGAGGGACAGGCUCGGUCGGAGUUGAGGAUGCCAUUGUGGAGAAGGAGACGCAUGUGGACAGAGAAUGGCUCUGGAGCUGUGGAGCCUGGUGCAGGAUCUGACUCAGAGACACUCCAUAAACCUUUCUCAAAGAAUAUAUGAAUGCGGCGUGAAAGUGAAGCUGCUGUUUCUGCAGCACAAGGCUGUGGUGAGGAGUCCAUGAAGAGGGGCCCACCAGGCCUCAGGGGCCACUCAUGCCAGGAAGGGGCAGUCAUCCUAGGAGGAGUGGUGCUAUCAGAAGCUACCUCAGGAGAAGAAGCUGAGGCAGGCUGUCCCUGGAGGGCAAGGUCCAAUGCCGGAGACACAAGGUUCAUCAGGGACUUUGCACUUGCCAGACAAGCACUGUGCCGCUAAGCUACAUCCUUGGCCCUUCAUCCAGUCAGCUUGACCCCUGUGUACUUCCUUCAAGAAGCCCUCCUCAACCACCCCAGCUGAUGGAAAUUCCUGCCUCCCC